ACAGUUCCUUCGGGAAGCUGACGAGUGGCGCACGGGUGAGUAACGCGUACGCAAUCUGCCCUAAUCUGGGGGAAAGUCGCUGGAAACGGCGAAUAAUCCCGCAUAAGACCACGCUAUCGCAUGAUAGAGGGGUUAAAGCUUCGGUGGAUUAGGAUGAGCGUGCGUACUAUUAGCUAGUUGGUAAGGUAAUGGCUUACCAAGGCGACGAUAGUUAGGGGGCGUGAGAGCGUGAUCCCCCACACGGGUACUGAGACACGGACCCGACUCCUACGGGAGGCAGCAGUAAGGAAUAUUGGUCAAUGGGGGCAACCCUGAACCAGCCAUUCCGCGUGCGGGAAGAAUGCCCUCUGGGUUGUAAACCGCUUUUAUCAGGGAAGAAAUGUGUUCAUUAAUGGACAAGUUGACGGUACCUGAGGAAUAAGCACCGGCUAACUCCGUGCCAGCAGCCGCGGUAAUACGGAGGGUGCAAGCGUUAUCCGGAAUCACUGGGUUUAAAGGGUACGCAGGCGGUUUAGUAAGUCUGACGUGAAAGCUUGUGGCUUAACCAUGAAAUUGCGUUGGAUACUGCUUAACUAGAAUACGAUCGAAGUGGAUGGAAUGCGUCAUGUAGCG
rnacentral:rRNA from 1 species